rnacentral:rRNA from 1 species
GACGAACGCUGGCGGCGUGCUUAACACAUGCAAGUCGAGCGGUAAGGCCCUUUCGGGGGUACACGAGCGGCGAACGGGUGAGUAACACGUGGGUGACCUGCCUUUAGCUCUGGGAUAAGCCUGGGAAACUGGGUCUAAUACCGGAUAUGACUCCAUGAUGCAUGUUGUGGGGUGGAAAGCCUUGUGCGGCUAGGGAUGGGCCCGCGGCCUAUCAGCUUGUUGGUGGGGUGAUGGCCACCAAGGCGACGACGGGUAGCCGGCCUGAGAGGGCGACCGGCCACACUGGGACUGAGACACGGCCCAGACUCC